UACGGGGGGGGGCAAGCGUUGUUCGGAAUUACUGGGCGUAAAGGGCUCGUAGGCGGCCAACUAAGUCAGACGUGAAAUCCCUCGGCUCAACCUGGGAAUGGCAGUGGAUACUGGCGAGCUAGAGUGUGAUAGAGGAUGGUGGAAUUCCCGGUGUAGCGGUGAAAUGCGUAGAGAUCGGGAGGAACACCAGUGGCGAAGGCGGCCAUCUGGAUCAACACUGACGCUGAGGCACGAAAGCGUGGGGAGCAAACAGG
rnacentral:rRNA from 1 species